UGCAGCGGAGCAAUGAGAGGGGGCGCUGCGGCAGGGACAGCUGCACGGCGCGGCGCGGCGCGGCUCCGACGCGACAGCGACGGCGACGGCACGCUCUCUUCUCCGGCAGUUGUCUCCUCCGGUGGCCACCUUCUCCCCGGCUUUGGGAGGAAGGAAGUCUGAGAGGAUGGUGGUUCAUAUACUGAGUGGAUGAGCAGACAUGUACACGAUGUUGGCUUUUUGCAGGAGCAACAAAUGUUGAUCUUUGAAUCAUUGUAUAUUGCUGAUGUAACCAUUUGGCCUGGGAGUCCUGGUGUGGCAGCUCACAUUUAUUUUUAUAGCUUGACAAUUAUCUCCUAGCUAAUUAUCUCAAGUGAAUCAUGACAUAGUUUUAUCUUUUUUCUUUUUUAUUGUCAAAUUUCACUACUAAGACUGUAUUUAGUUGUCUCCGUAUUGUCAAGUGGCCUCAAGCUUUGUUGGGUGAUGCCUCCUUGCCUUAAACCGAAUACAGGUCUUGAUGAUACUGCAAUAUUUUUGUUUUAAUGAUUAAUCAAUGUUGUUUUCGUGUAAUUGAUGAGGUUACUGCAAUAUUUUUUACUGAAGUGUAAUUUCAUUCAUGUUGCACUUUUCACUUAUACAAAAAUAUCGGUUUGCAA